rnacentral:miRNA from 1 species
CUGCUCUCGGAUGAGCCAGCUU